rnacentral:rRNA from 1 species
AGCAGCCGCGGUAAUUCCAGCUCCAAUAGCGUAUAUUAAAGUUGUUGUAGUUAAAAAGCUCGUAGUUGAAUUUCGGGAUUAGUGCGCUGGUCAUGCCUUUGGUAUGUACUGGUGUUACUGAUUUCUACCUUCUGAAGAACCGUUAUGUCAUUUAUUUGGUGUGGCGGGGAAUCAGGACUGUUACUUUGAAAAAAUUAGAGUGUUUAAAGCAGGCUCGCGCUUGAAUACAUUAGCAUGGAAUAAUGAAAUAGGACGUUUGACCCUAUUUUGUUGGUUUCUAGGAUCGACGUAAUGAUUAAUAGGGAUAGUUGGGGGCAUUAGUAUUCAAUUGUCAGAGGUGAAAUUCUUGGAUUUAUUGAAGACUAACUACUGCGAAAGCAUUUGCCAAGGAUGUUUUCAUUAAUCAUGAACGAAAGUUAGGGGAUCGAAGACGAUCAGAUACCGUCGUAGUCUUAACCAUAAACUAUGCCGACUAGGGAUCGGAUGAUGUUAUCUUUAAUGACUCA